CACGUAGGGUGCGAGCGUUGUCCGGAAUUAUUGGGCGUAAAGAGCUCGUAGGCGGUGUGUCGCGUCGGCCGUGAAAACCUGCAGCUUAACUGUGGGCUUGCGGUCGAUACGGGCAUCACUGGAGUUCGGCAGGGGAGACUGGAAUUCCUGGUGUAGCGGUGAAAUGCGCAGAUAUCAGGAGGAACACCGAUGGCGAAGGCAGGUCUCUGGGCCAUUACUGACACUGAGAAGCGAAAGCAUGGGGAGCGAACAGG
rnacentral:rRNA from 1 species